rnacentral:tRNA from 1 species
GGCCGGUUAGCUCAGUCAGAGCGUGGUGCUGAUAACGCCAAGGUCGCAGGUUCAAUCCCCGUUCAGCCCC